CACCGCGGUUAUACGAGUGGCCCAAGUUGUUAGCCCUCGGCGUAAAGAGUGGUUAGAGCGACACACACAACACUGAGGCCGAACACCUUCAGAGCAGUGAUACGCUUCCGAAGGCAUGAAGCACACCCACGAAAGUAGCCUCACCCAACUUGAACCCACGAAAGCUAAGACA
rnacentral:rRNA from 1 species